rnacentral:rRNA from 1 species
UACGUAGGGUCCGAGCGUUGUCCGGAAUUACUGGGCGUAAAGAGCUCGUAGGUGGUUUGUCGCGUUGUUCGUGAAAACUCACAGCUUAACUGUGGGCGUGCGGGCGAUACGGGCAGACCUGAGUACUGCAGGGGAGACUGGAAUUCCUGGUGUAGCGGUGGAAUGCGCAGAUAUCAGGAGGAACACCGGUGGCGAAGGCGGGUCUCUGGGCAGUAACUGACGCUGAGGAGCGAAAGCGUGGGGAGCGAACAGG